rnacentral:rRNA from 1 species
AUGAACGCUGGCGGCGUGCCUAAUACAUGCAAGUCGAGCGAACAGACGAGGAGCUUGCUCCUCUGACGUUAGCGGCGGACGGGUGAGUAACCCGUGGAUAACCUACCUAUAAGACUGGGAUAACUUCGGGAAACCGGAGCUAAUACCGGAUAAUAUAUUGAACCGCAUGGUUCAAUAGUGAAAGACGGUUUUGCUGUCACUUAUAGAUGGAUCCGCGCCGCAUUAGCUAGUUGGUAAGGUAACGGCUUACCAAGGCGACGAUGCGUAGCCGACCUGAGAGGGUGAUCGGCCACACUGGAACUGAGACACGGUCCAGACUCCUACGGGAGGCAGCAGUAGGGAAUCUUCCGCAAUGGGCGAAAGCCUGACGGAGCAACGCCGCGUGAGUGAUGAAGGUCUUCGGAUCGUAAAACUCUGUUAUUAGGGAAGAACAAAUGUGUAAGUAACUAUGCACGUCUUGACGGUACCUAAUCAGAAAGCCACGGCUAACUACGUG